UAGAGUGAGUGACCGACUUCCUGGAUGGAAGCGACCAAUCAAGGAAAUUCCUUCAUACAGUCUCUCGGCGCUCAUCCACUGACCAAAAAGCCCAAGGACGUUGGGAACGAGAUUGCCAAAACCUCCAAUAAAACAUGCUACAUUUUCGUCCCCAGAGCUGCGAUCUUGGUCAACUAUCCUCGGCGCUAGGCGCUGGCCAAAUGCAUCGCAGGUAUAGCAAGGUUGUUUUUGCGAAGAAUUCUCCCCAGGAGGUGGCUGUUGUCGUUGUUCUCCGUCUUCCCCUCAUUCCACACAUCACAGAAGAGUUCAAGAAAAAAUUGCACGCCUGAGUGUACACGCAAGGAUACGUCUUGAACACCUCUCCUUCUUGUCUAAUGUGGAAGAAACCGCUGGAGAAUUUAAAUGGUGGUCGAACCGUCGAAAUGUCAUAUGGAGAUGAGGAGAUAUGCCCACACAGGAACAUUUCUUUUCAGGUUGGAAAGUGUCUGGUCAGCACCACAGGAAAUUUUCAAGCUCAGGGGCCUAAUUAAACAAAGAAGACAAGUUUAACAACAAAAGACUGAGCAAGUCGCAUGAUAAAGGUCAGAGCUCUGCUCAAAGUGAUCCAUGAUUAUUGAAGACCUCCCAUUCAAGUAUAAAGGGUGAAUGGAGCAUAAGAAAUAGAAACACUAUUCAGCAAUGCCAAUAAAUUAUGUCAUCUUUGCUUGACUAGGCUUUCUAGACCAAGGUAAGGUGCCAAAGCAAGGACAAAAUAAAAUACAGGCAAGUUAUGUUAGAAAAUACCUGAAAACAAGGAUGAGUUUAACAGUUUUCGAUAGUGGCAGCUAUACGUUUGGUCAUCGAAAGCUGGAAAAAGUCAUGGAAUUUUAAAAGCCCAGAAGAGUACGAACCCUGGCGAUUCUCUCACAAACAAAUUUUAAUUUUUAAAAUGAUAGUUUUUAUUACGUACAUCUGCCCCUGCCAAGUAUGAUAGAAAAUUAUGACAGCUCAGCAACACUUUAGUGAAGGGUAGGUGCUAACCAGAAAAAUAGCCAUAAAGAGGCUGAAAGAGUACAUGGUAUCAGUGCUGGAAUAUCAAUACCACCUUGGACAUCCAGCGUUAGCAAAUAGACCUUUUCAGCUUGUACAUUUUGUUUUCCCAUUUCAGACCACGUGAUGCUA